AUUGAACGCUGGCGGCAUGCCUUACACAUGCAAGUCGAACGGCAGCACGGGAGCAAUCCUGGUGGCGAGUGGCGAACGGGUGAGUAAUAUAUCGGAACGUGCCCAGUCGUGGGGAUAACGUAGCGAAAGCUACGCUAAUACCGCAUACGAUCUAUGGAUGAAAGCGGGGGAUCGCAAGACCUCGCGCGAUUGGAGCGGCCGAUAUCAGAUUAGGUAGUUGGUGAGGUAAAGGCUCACCAAGCCGACGAUCUGUAGCUGGUCUGAGAGGACGACCAGCCACACUGGGACUGAGACACGGCCUAGACUCCUACGGGAGGCAGC
rnacentral:rRNA from 1 species